rnacentral:rRNA from 1 species
AUUGAACGCUGGCGGCAGGCCUAACACAUGCAAGUCGAACGAGUGGCGGACGGGUGAGUAAUGUCUGGGAAACUGCCUGGUGGAGGGGGUUCACUACUGGAAACGGUAGCUAAUACCGCCUACCUUCAGAUGUGCCCCGAUGGGAUUAUCUAGUGGGUGGGGUAAUGGCUCACCUAGGCGACGAUCCCUAGCUGGUCUGAGAGGAUGACCAGCCACACUGGAACUGAGACACGGUCCAGACUCCUACGGGAGGCAGCAGUGGGGAAUAUUGCACAAUGGGCGCAAGCCUGAUGCAGCCAUGCCGCGUGUGUGAAGAAGGCCUUCGGGUUGUAAAGCACUUUCAGCGAGGAGGCGUUACUCGCAGAAGAAGCACCGGCUAACUCCGUGCCAGCAGCCGCGGUAAUAC